GCCGGGAUGGCGGAAUUGGUAGACGCACGGGACUCAAAAUCCCGCGACCGCGAGGUCAUGGGGGUUCGAUUCCCCCUCCCGGCA
rfam:Nitrosospira sp. Nsp11 genome assembly, contig: Ga0111721_121